GACGAACGCUGGCGGCGUGCCUAAUACAUGCAAGUAGGACGCAGUUGCGAACGGGUGAGUAACGCGUAGGUAACUGCCUAUUAGAGGGGGAUAACUAUUGGAAACGAUAGAUAAUACCGCAUACUAGUAGAUGGACCUGCGUUGUAUUAGCUAGUAGGUAGGGUAAUGGCCUACCUAGGCGGCGAGACAGAGCCGACCUGGGAGGGUGGUCCGCCCCCCUGGGACUGAGACACGGCUCCGGCCCCCUCGGGAGGGAGGAGUAGGGGAUCUUCGGCAAUGGGGCGAAACCUGGCCGAGCAACGGCGCGUUGUUGAAGAAGGUUUUCGGGUCGUAAAGCUCUGUUGUUCGCGAAGCGGUACUUACCCAGAAAGCGCCGGCUAACUCCGUGCCAGCAGCCGCGGUAAUAC
rnacentral:rRNA from 1 species